rnacentral:lncRNA from 1 species
CUUCCAAGAAGCUCAACGCACUUUUUGGUGUGAGUCAAAUUCAUCUGGGGCCUCAAUUACAAAGCAGAUACAGUAUUCAUGAAGGUGACUUUGCAAGAAAGGCAUACGGAAUUUCACAUUUGGGAGAUAAUUCAGUGUCAUGAAAAAACUAUCAAAACCAGCAAACAAUGUUCAUUUUCUUCCUGAAUCUGCAAAGCAGCUGCAUCUCUCUAGCCAUGACCUGACCACAACUCAUAUCCCUCUACUUGCCUCUUCGCUUAACAAGUUCUAGCUGAACUGACCCUUCCUCAGUGCUCUCCAGUGCUCAAAUUCUUCUCCUCAUAAUCAGAAGAACGAGGAGAGAGCUGGUGCUCCCUAGCUACUUUCAACUGAGGAGGAAAACUGGAUUGACAAGGAUUGACAGCAACAUGUACAGACAGAAAUGGUGGGAUCUAGUGGGACCCAUUCCCACCCAAAGGUAAAGCUCCCUUCAGCCAGCACACUCUAUUGCAUUUACUCUCUCUAUUAAUUUUACAGAAUACUUCCCCUGAUUUUAG